GGGUGAUUAGCUCAGUUGGUUAGAGCGCUUCGUUCACAUCGAAGAGGUCGCAGGUUCGAAUCCUGCAUCACCCACUA
rnacentral:tRNA from 1 species